rnacentral:rRNA from 1 species
CUACGGGUUGCUGCAGUGGGGGAUAUUGCACAAUGGGGGAAACCCUGAUGCAGCAACGCCGCGUGAAGGAAGACGGAUUUCGGUCUGUAAACUUCUAUCAGCUGGGAAGAAAAUGACGGUACCAGACUAAGAAGCCCCGGCUAACUACGUGCCAGCAGCCGCGGUAAUACGUAGGGGGCAAGCGUUAUCCGGAUUUACUGGGUGGUAAAGGGUACGUAGACGGUUGCUUAAGUCAGAUGUGAAAGCCCGGGGCUCAACCCCGGGACUGCAUUUGAAACUGGGCAACUAGAGUACAGGAGAGGAAAGCGGAAUUCCUAGUGUAGCGGUGAAAUGCGUAGAUAUUAGGAAGAACACCAGUGGCGAAGGCGGCUUUCUGGACUGUAACUGACGUUGAGGUACGAAAGCGUGGGGAGCGAACAGGAUUAGAUACCCCGGUAGUC